rnacentral:rRNA from 1 species
UACGAAGGGGGGCUAGCGUUGCUCGGAAUCACUGGGCGUAAAGCGCACGUGGGCGGAUUGUUAAGUCAGGGGUGAAAUCCUGGAGCUCAACUCCAGAACUGCCUUUGAUACUGGCGAUCUCGAGUCCGGGAGAGGUGAGUGGAACUGCGAGUGUAGAGGUGAAAUUCGUAGAUAUCGUAAGGAAGACCAGUGGCGAAGGCGGGUCUCUGGACAGUUCCUGACGCUGAGGCACGAAGGCCAGGGGGAGCAACGGG